rnacentral:misc_RNA from 1 species
GUGAAUCAUCGAAUUUUUGAACGCAAAUUGCACUCUCUUCUGAGAGUAUGCCUGAUUGAUGUUCAGCCGAAAAAAAAUCGAAAUUGUUGCUGUUUUAUGGUGACUUUCGUCGGAGAUGGGUUAGCUUAAAUCUCGGUUUAAGCGACUUAAAAAUUUUUUUUACGAUCCUAAGAAUGUUUCUAAGAUUUUUCUUGUACGUUUAAGUUAUCGAAUUUCUUAUUAGACGUGGCCGUCAUAGCCAUUC